CGAUGCGGUGCGCGAGGCCGACGCGCGCGAGCGCCUCCCUCGCCCGGGAUUCGCGUUCGCGUCGCGGCACGCCGC
rnacentral:tRNA from 1 species